rnacentral:rRNA from 1 species
AUUGAACGCUGGCGGCAUGCUUUACACAUGCAAGUCGGACGAGUGGCGAACGGGUGAGUAACGCAUCGGAACGUGCCGGGUAAUGGGGGAUAACUGUCCGAAAGGACAGCUAAUACCGCAUAUUAUCCGAGCGGCCCAUAUGGGAUUAGCUGGUUGGUGGGGUAAAGGCCCACCAAGGCGACGAUCAGUAGCUGGUCUGAGAGGAUGAUCAGCCACACGGGAACUGAGACACGGCCCAGACGCCUACGGGAGGCAGCAGUGGGGAAUAUUGCACAAUGGGCGCAAGCCUGAUGCAGCCAUGCCGCGUGUAUGAAGAAGGCCUUCGGGUUGUAAAGGACUUUUGGCAGGGAGGCGGUACCUGAAGAAGAAGCACCGGCUAACUCCGUGCCAGCAGCCGCGGUAAUAC